GGGAUUACGGGCAUGAGCCACUGUGCGCAAUCUGAUUUUAGAUUUCAAACAGUAUAGGAUAAAAUUGAGAGAACCAUUUGGCAAUAAAAAAUAUUAAAACUGAGUUUUGCAGAGAAGAGCAUGAUCUAUAUAUCUACUAUUAAAAACCAUUCAACUGAAUAUAUUUCCAUGGCCAUCACACCAUUAUUAAAACCUCUGAAAAGACUAACAUGUACCAGAGUAAAGAUCCACAUAAGACAUGUGUAUUAGGGUUCUCCAGAGAGACAGAAACAAUAGGAUAUAUGUAUAUAUAAACCAGAGUUUAUUAAGAAUUGGCUCACACAAUUAGAAGGUGAAGUCCCAUGAUGACUGUCUGCAAGCUGGAGGAGAGAAGGCAGUUGUGUGUCUUAGUCCAAGUCCAAAACCCUUAAAACCAGGGAAGGUGACAACGCAGCCCUGAGUCUGAGGCCAAAGGCUUAAGACCCACUGAGUGGCCACCGGUGCAAGUCCCAGAGUCCAAAGGCUGAAGAGCCUGGAGUCUAAUGUCCAAGGGCAGCAGGAAAGGAAGCGAGCAUCUGGCAUGGGAAGAAGAAAGAUUCAGAAGACUAAGCAAGCAAACGAAUCCCACCUUCCUUUGCCUACUUUGUUCUAGUCAUGCUGGCAGCAAACUGGAUGGUGCCACUCACACUGAGGGUGGGUCUAUUUCUCCCAGUCUACUGACUGAAAUGUCAAUCUCCUCUGGCAACACCCUCACAGACACACCCAGAAACAAUACUCUUCCAGCCAUCUAGGCAUCCUUCAAUUCAAUCAAGUUGAUGCCUAACAUUAUCCAUUACAAUAUGUCUUGAAGGGAACCAUGAAUGUGGCUGUUGGCACCUGGAAUUUUCUGAAAUCCAAUGCUAAGAAGUAGAUUAAGUUGUUGUAAGAGAUGUACCUCCAAAGGAAUCACCAGACUGAAUUAAAAGAGAUUCCAAGUAUUAAAGACUUAAAAGAACCCUUGGAUCACCAAACAUUUAGGGUUGGAAGUGGCCUGAGAAAGCUGUAUGGACAUCAAGCAAAAUGUAUUCCCCGAUGCCUACUUCAGAUGUGUCAGACAGUAUGAUGGAAAAGAAAGCUGGGGCCAUGGAGAGUUAUGGAGAACGAGGCUUCUUGCACAGAGCCUAUUUAAGGGCUGAGCUGACAUCCUCAGACCUAGGGUAGACCUCCCAAUAUCGGUUCAAGCUAUUUCAGAGUUGCUAAAGGCCAGUGUCUGCUGUAUAUCUCCCAUUUUUCCUCUUUCCAAAGAGGAAUGUUUGUUGGAGUCAUCUGUUCCCUGUUUCAUCUUUGUAAGUUAGGUGUGUGUGGGGUAGGUAACUUGUCUUUUUACUGCAUAACUCUCCAGAACAAGAGGAGCCACAUCCAGGCCCAGUUUAGUGACUGGGUAUCACCUGAACAGGCUGAAUUGUGUCCCCCCAAAUUCAUAUGUUGGAGCCCUAACCUCCAGUGCAUUUGGAGACAGGGCCUUUAGGAGGUCAUUAAGAUGAAGUCAAGUCAUAAGUUGGGGGGGCCCUGAUCCCAUAGGACUGGUGUCUUUAUAAGAAGAGGAAGAGACACCAGUAAUGCAUGCACACAGAAAAAUAAGCCAUGUGAGGACAUGGUGAGAAGAUGGCCAUCUGCAAGCUAAGAAGAGCGGACCCAGGAGAAACCAAACCUGAAGAUACCUUGAUCUUGGACUUCCACCCUCCAAAAUUUUGAGAAAUAAAGUUUUAUUAAGCUUCUCGGUCUGUGGUAUUUUGUUAUGGGGGCCCUAGCAAACUAACAUGCUCCUGAUGAAGAUAGUACCAUGCAUUACCCAGAGGUACUUGAUCCGUGACUGAGUGAGACUUUUGAGUUGUCUCUCCUGGGGAGAGAAUAAAUGAAUUUUGCUCAAGAAAGAAACACUGAACUGAUCAUUUGGUGACUGGAGAGGUGGAUUGUAGCUACAUGAGGACUCCAGACAUUCACCAAUAUUCCAGCAUGGCAGGAUUAUACUUCCAUGUCCCCUUGGAUGUAGGAAUAGUCAUGUGGCUCACUUGGCCAAUUAAAUGUAAGCAGAAAUGACAGGUGUUUCUUCUAGGCAGAAUCAAUCCCUUAAGAGCUAAAGUACAAUUUGCCGUGUUCCCUUCCUCCUGUCACUGCAAUCUGUGACAUUCCAGAUGGUAGAGUGUGAGCCAGCCUGUGUUCCUGAAUGCAGAUGACAUGGAGCAGAGUUCCAGCCAAUCUGCAAUAGUUGUGGGCAUGGGUGAGAAAUAAUGUUUAAAGUUAAUGAAUUUUUGGAAUUGUUUAUUACUGUGGCAUAAUCUAGUCUAUUUUGACUGAUCUAAUCAAUAUUAAUGGUAGGGAAAAUUUCCAAAAUCCUCAUAGAAUUCAGUUGUAUGGUGUGAUCAAUUAAUUCAAUGUAUGGGGUUUUGUCCUUCAGUAAAUAAAGAAGUAGAGCUGACAUCC
rnacentral:lncRNA from 1 species